rnacentral:sRNA from 1 species
CACCGAGUCCGAGGUUCCGGGACGGACCGGAAUCUGGUGCGAAAGGGA